rnacentral:rRNA from 1 species
CACGGAGUUAGCCGGGGCUUAUUCUCCCGGUACAGUCAUUAUCUUCCCGGGUAAAAGAGCUUUACAACCCUAAGGCCUUCAUCACUCACGCGGCAUUGCUGGAUCAGGCUUGCGCCCAUUGUCCAAUAUUCCCCACUGCUGCCUCCCGUAGGAGUCUGGGCCGUGUCUCAGUCCCAGUGUGGCUGAUCAUCCUCUCAGACCAGCUACGGAUCGUCGCCUUGGUAGGCCUUUACCCCACCAACUAGCUAAUCCGACGCGGGCUCAUCCUCGGGCGAUAAAUCUUUGGUCUUAUCGACAUCAUCCGGUAUUAGCAGUCGUUUCCAACUGUUAUUCCGAACCCAAGGGCAGAUUCCCACGCGUUACGCACCCGUGCGCCACUAUGCCCGAAAGCAUCGUUCGACUUGCAUGUGUUAGGCAUGCCGCCAGCGUUCGUUCUGAGCCAGGAUCAAACUCU